GAUGAACGCUGGCGGCGUGCCUAAUACAUGCAAGUCGAGCGAACAGAUGAGGAGCUUGCUCCUCUGACGUUAGCGGCGGACGUGUGAGUAACACGUGGAUAACCUACCUAUAAGACUGGGAUAACCACGGGAAACCGGAGCUAAUACCGGAUAAUAUACUGAACCGCAUGGUUCAAUAGUGAAAGACGGCUUUGCUGUCACUUAUAGAUGGAUCCGGGCUGCAUGAGCUAGUUGGUAAGGUCACGGCUUACCAAGGCGACGAGGCGUAGCCGACCUGAGAGGGGGGUCGGCCGCACUGGAACUGAGACACGGUCCAGAGUCCUACGGGAGGCAGCAGUAGGGAAUCUUCCGCAAUGGGCGAAAGCUUGGCGGAGCAACGCGGCGUGAGUGAUGAAGGUCUUCGGAUCGUAAAACUCUGUUAUUAGGGAAGAACAAAUGUGUAAGUAACUAUGCACGUCUUGACGGUACCUAAUCAGAAAGCCACGGCUAACUACGUG
rnacentral:rRNA from 1 species